AUUUGAUUCUCCUAAUUACUCUCAAAUCAGUAUUAUCUCUAUGAACAGGAAAACAAAAUCGGUGAGGUGCUAAGUAGCAAUCACACAGCUAGUAAGUGGCAGAGCAAGAAUUAAGACCUGGGAGCCAUAGAAAAAAGCCUGAGAGAAUCAAAAUGUUAGCAGUUGUCACCCCAGGGAAGCACUGGGGAGACCCAGGGAGAGGCUUCACUUUUUAAAACCGUAACCUCAACAAACAAACUCAGUUCUAAACCGCUGCUCAUUUUAUUUUAUUUUAAUAUUUGCAGGUAGGCUUUGGGAGGUACUUUUCAGAGAAUAAACUGAAAUAAUUAACAAAUGCCAGCACAGUGCCAGGCAGAAGGAAAGGCUGCUGGCUAAGUGACGGAUGCGCGUGUGGAGGCUGAGGCAAGGGGCGUCAGAGGGUGGGGCAGGGCUGGAGGAGCGUGAGUCACCAGCCCUGAGCUGCUGGUUUCCAGUCCUUUCUGCGCCUGGGCUGAGCUUCUCGCCUGCCUGCCCCGUCCCAGCAGCUUCAGAAGGUGGCUGGGGGCAGGCGUUUCUGGAGCUCCUGCUCCCUGUAAGGUUCAUCCCAAACCCUAAGUGCUGGGGAGGCCAAAGUGGGAAAAUCCAGCCUUGGGUGGAGCUAGAGUCCAUGAUCUGAGCCUGUGCCUGCUGGUGACCUGAGAGGACAAACCCUGCAGUGCAGAGAAUGACAAGUGCUGCACGAAGGGACACAGCACACAGCUGCCCACUGGUGCAAAACAGUAGGGCAGAAAAGCUUUGAAAAAUUCAAACAGGAC
rnacentral:lncRNA from 1 species